rnacentral:snoRNA from 1 species
CCCCGAUGAGGAAACCCCCACGCGUCUGACCGCCCCCCCCAGCGCCAGAGCCUGAGCUCAGGCGGAACCCACUGGUGCUGGCGGGCGGACAGGAGGACGCUGCGUUCAGCAGAACGGUCUGAGGGGG